UACGUAGGGACCGAGCGUUGUCCGGAAUCAUUGGGCGUAAAGAGCGUGUAGGCGGCCAUGUAGGUCCGUUGUGAAAACUCGAGGCUCAACCUCGAGACGCCGAUGGAAACCAUGUGGCUAGAGUCCGGAAGAGGAGAGUGGAAUUCCUGGUGUAGCGGUGAAAUGCGCAGAUAUCAGGAGGAACACCGGUGGCGAAGGCGGAUCUCUGGGCCUUACCUGACGCUCAGGUGCGAAAGCUAGGGGAGCGAACAGG
rnacentral:rRNA from 1 species